UACGGAGGGGGUUAGCGUUGUUCGGAAUUACUGGGCGUAAAGCGCGCGUAGGCGGACUAUUAAGUCAGGGGUGAAAUCCCGGGUCUCAACCCCGGAACGGCCCUUGAUACUGGCAGUCUUGAGAUCGAGAGAGGUGAGUGGAAUUCCGAGUGUAGAGGUGAAAUUCGUAGAUAUUCGGAAGAACAUCAGUGGCGAAGGCGGCUCACUGGCUCGAUACUUACGCUGAGGUGCGAAAGUGUGGGGAUCAAACAGG
rnacentral:rRNA from 1 species